UCUCUGGAAGCAGUCAUCCGGGCACCUGGUGGUCAGGAUCUACUACAGGCCGCCUGGUCAUGGCCAGCCCGUAAAUGAGGCCUUCUUGCCUCAGCUUCAAUAAGUGUUGUGCCUGCAGGCUCAUCUUGAUGGGAGAUUUCAACCACCAGGAUGUUUGCUGAGAAAGCAGCAUGUCAGGCUGCAAACAAUCCUGGAGACUCCUGGAGUGCAUUGAGGAGAACUUUCUGGUCCAGGUAUUAGACAAAGCAACCAGAGAUGAAGUGUUACCAGACCUGGUGCUUACAAUUGUAGAGGAACUCAAUAAAGAAGGUAUUGACUUGAUGCAAUCUACUAAUCACUGGAAGGCAUCUCUUCUAACUGGAGAAAGCAUUAUAUGAAAAUGGUGAACUGGAGCUACGUGGAGUGAUCUGGAGGGAGCUGUUUUCUCUGGCUGGCCAGGGCAGCAGAGCUGGAAGGACUUGGUGACUGGCUGCGACUAGGACCUCAUGCAUGUAGUGGUUGAGGGAGGGUGAAAUCUGCACAGGUAAGCUGUUUUCUGCACUGCAACCUGGAACUGUUCCAAAGCAAGGUACAAACCCAGAAACUGGUCAUUUGACUCGUGGGGAAAAAAGCACAGUGAAAAAAUGCAUGUGGAAGAGAGAAGCGUGAACAAGUCUUGACUCUGGGAACCUUGACUCUGAUCUCUUUUGCCUCAACCAUUCUCUGGCAUUUUGAGGGGAGAGGCUGAUGUGGUUUCUCCCUGGUGUGAGCACAGACUGCUCGAUAGGGGAAAAAAGCUCUUGGUCUGGCUAACAAAUUUAGGAACAGAUUUUACCUCUGAGAUGGUUGUUGCUUUUCUGUGCAGCUGAGAUUAGGGUUUGUUGGGAUUCAGAGGCUACUCAUCAUCUUCCUGUUGCUUGUAAGUAAGCCUUAAAAACUAAUAGUGGUGAAGGAGCAGUUCCCUGUAGACCCAUCCAGACCAGAUGAAGAUCGCAGAUACAUAAAACACAGGCCUAAGAGGUGAUGAACACUGGAAUUUAUGUCCUGUGUCUGGCAGCUGACCAAGAGGUCACUCGUUUUAUUGAGAUAACCUCAAGUUUGGGCCUUUUUUCUCUUUUUGGUAAGCCAUGAAAAGCUGUUACUGAAGUACAUGAGUAAGUAGUGAUUUUUUUUCUUCUCUCUCUCUGGGUUAUAAAAUAUUGCAUGAUAGAUUAGGAAGAUUCACUAAAUCUGCAAACAGUAAAUAGAAGUGACAUUCUUUACUUUUUUGAGUUACGUUGUCCAGUAAUGAACAUUUAAAUUCAUAUGCCAUAAGCAGCAACAAUACACGAGGGAGGACAGCUUUGUAGGCCUCCUCUCUCUGCAUUAUGUUUGUAAAAUUAAUUUGUUGUCAUUUCCCCCAUAUAUAUUGUUUUUACAGCCCACAAGAAUGUAAGAAGCCAAAUGAAACCACUGUAAAUGAAAGCAGACACCUCCGUACAGAUAGAAAUAAAAUAGAUAAAUAUCCAACAAUGAGAAAAAUAUUAAAAAGAUGCAUUUUAUCAUUAUCUGAAUCUUUUGGGAAAAUUUUGCUGUCUCCAAAGCAACAUUAAUAAGUGAGUCUACAGCAAGACAGAGCAGAGAUGUGAUUAAAGGGGGGUAAUGUUUAGCUAACUGGCUUGAAAAUGCGUUUCCCAUCUCCGCAGUGCUCGCUCACUCAGGGCACUCCCCACUGAAGGGCCUUGUCUACUUAAAGGGCAGGAAGGGAGGUUUCUAAAAGCACAAAACUUUUAGUCAAAUACAGAACUGGCAUGUAGUGACAAGAUGAAAUUAUAACCUGUUCUGCUAGGAGUCCUCCCUCAGAUGGCAGGACUGUAAUUUAAGGAGAAUGGAAAAAAAGAAAAGUGCAUCAUUUCCCACCUGUUCACUUUUAAUUUUCACAUGUUAUGAGGAAAAAAAAUGUUUUAAUUAAAAAGGCCUUUUCAUUCUUGUCCCAUCAUGGAGAGGCAGUGCCAGAAAUCUGUUCCUCUCUUAUAUAUAGACUGCUUUGAAAGUAAUGUCUCCGAUUUAUUUCUGUGGAAACUAGAACUGGUACAAAGAGCACAAUAACCGUGUUUGAUAGAGCAGAUUCUUAGCUACAAAACACUAUUUUUCAACAUAGACCCCACCAUGAGCUGUGCUUUUUUGCCAGCGCUCAAGAGCCUGCAUGCUGCAAACCUAACAAUCUGCAUGGCUGGCCAGAACGUGCCUUGCCUUUCUUGUUGCUGUCACCACUGCUGAAACACACCACCCACAGCCUCACUGUGCUCACACCCACUGUUUGGUUUCCAUAAAUGUUCAGCAAGAACCGAUGAAGGUCAGUAGUCAGUAUCAUUUUUUCCCACAUGAGGGAAUUAAGUUCCAUACCUUUGCCUCAUGCACACUUCCACGAGAUGCCAUUCUGUCAGACUGCCCCUCUGCUGCCAUCUGUCACAGUGCAAC